UAAUCAAAAUUAGCAAGUCACCGGUGGUC
rnacentral:sRNA from 1 species